CACGUAGGGCGCAAGCGUUGUCCGGAAUUAUUGGGCGUAAAGAGCUCGUAGGCGGUCUGUCGCGUCGGCUGUGAAAACCCGGAGCUCAACUCCGGGCCUGCAGUCGAUACGGGCAGACUAGAGUGCGGUAGGGGAGACUGGAAUUCCUGGUGUAGCGGUGAAAUGCGCAGAUAUCAGGAGGAACACCGGUGGCGAAGGCGGGUCUCUGGGCCGUAACUGACGCUGAGGAGCGAAAGCGUGGGGAGCGAACAGG
rnacentral:rRNA from 1 species